UGCCCCUCUGGGUCAUACCUGAAGAGUUUCCAGUACUCUACCAGUUUCGACUAUGGGAGGGAGAGUCAAUCAGAGGAAUACCCAUUCCAUUCCUUGCUUGGGCAGUGGCUAGUGAGUGGAAGGCAAUCUGCUACAAGU